UACGAAGGGUGCUAGCGUUGUUCGGAAUCACUGGGCGUAAAGCGCGCGUAGGCGGACCUGCAAGUCGGGGGUGAAAGCCCGGAGCUCAACUCCGGAAUUGCCAUUGAAACUGUUUGGCUCGAGUACGAGAGAGGUGAGUGGAAUUCCCAGUGUAGAGGUGAAAUUCGUAGAUAUUGGGAAGAACACCGGUGGCGAAGGCGGCGAGCUGGUCCAUUACUGACGCUGAGGCGCGACAGCGUGGGGAGCAAACAGG
rnacentral:rRNA from 1 species